GACGAACGCUGGCCGGCGUGCCUAAUACAUGCAAGUAGUACGCUGAAGAGAGGAGCUUGCUCUUCUUGGAUGAGUUGCGAACGGGGUGAGUAACGCGUAGGUAACCUGCCUUGUAGCGGGGGAUAACUAUUGGAAACGAUAGCUAAUACCGCAUAACAAUGGAUGACACAUGUCAUUUAUUUGAAAGGGGCAAUUGCUCCACUACAAGAUGGACCUGCGUUGUAUUAGCUAGUAGGUGAGGUAACGGCUCACCUAGGCGACGAUACAUAGCCGACCUGAGAGGGUGAUCGGCCACACUGGGACUGAGACACGGCCCAGACUCCUACGGGAGGCAGCAGUAGGGAAUCUUCGGCAAUGGGGGCAACCCUGACCGAGCAACGCCGCGUGAGUGAAGAAGGUUUUCGGAUCGUAAAGCUCUGUUGUAAGUCAAGAACGAGUGUGAGAGUGGAAAGUUCACACUGUGACGGUAGCUUACCAGAAAGGGACGGCUAACUACGUGCCAGCAGCCGCGGUAAUACGUAGGUCCCGAGCGUUGUCCGGAUUUAUUGGGCGUAAAGCGAGCGCAGGCGGUUUGAUAAGUCUGAAGUUAAAGGCUGUGGCUCAACCAUAGUUCGCUUUGGAAACUGUCAAACUUGAGUGCAGAAGGGGAGAGUGGAAUUCCAUGUGUAGCGGUGAAAUGCGUAGAUAUAUGGAGGAACACCGGUGGCGAAAGCGGCUCUCUGGUCUGUAACUGACGCUGAGGCUCGAAAGCGUGGGGAGCGAACAGG
rnacentral:rRNA from 1 species